GAUGAACGCUAGCUACAGGCUUAACACAUGCAAGUCGAGGGACCGGCGCACGGGUGAGUAACACGUAUCCCACCUGCCCUUUACUCGGGGAUAGCCUUUCGCAAGAAAGAUUAAUACCCGAUAUAAAGGAUGGGGAUGCGUUCCAUUAGGUUGUUGGGGAGGUAACGGCUCACCAAGCCUUCGAUGGAUAGGGGUUCUGGGAGUAAGGCCCCCCAGAAUGGAACUGAGACACGGUCCAAACUCCUACGGGACGUAGCAGUGAGGAAUAUUGGUCAAUGGGCGCUAGUCUGACCCAGCCAAGUAGCGGGAAGGAGGAAGGCUUAUGGGUCGUAAACUUCUUUUAUAUAAGAAUAGGUAUUAGAUGAAUAAGGAUCGGCUAACUCCGUGCCAGCCGCCGCGGUAAUUC
rnacentral:rRNA from 1 species